GCAUAGCUGUGUGGACCGGUGCAAAUGAUAUCAUGAUGGAAGGCGUGUUUUCAUUUAUCAUAGAAAAUAGUGGAUUUUCGUUGUCUGCUGUCCCAUUUGGAAAUGCAGGCCUAUCAUCAACUCCAGAUAAUAAUGACUGUGUGAGAAUACGAUCACUCCCCGGAGCCGGGUCGCAAUAUCAAUGGGAGGACUCAAAUUGUGACACCGAUGUAAGCAGAUACGUUUGCGAAGUUCCACCAACAUGUCCAUAGAGAGUAUGUAUGCUGCCAUCGAAGAACUUCAUGGGAAGAAUAUUAUUGAUGCGUCGUACAAUAAAAUCGUAAAAACUUACUUUUCUUUUCUAAAAGAUACCAAGAAAGAAGAUAUCAAG